ACCCGCUGAACUUAAGCAUAUCAAUAAGCGGAGGAAAAGAAACCAACAGGGAUUGCCCUAGUAACGGCGAGUGAAGCGGCAACAGCUCAAAUUUGAAAUCUGGCUCUUUUAGAGUCCGAGUUGUAAUUUGCAGAGGGCGCUUUGGCUUUGGCAGCGGUCCAAGUUCCUUGGAACAGGACGUCACAGAGGGUGAGAAUCCCGUACGUGGUCGCUGGCUAUUGCCGUGUAAAGCCCCUUCGACGAGUCGAGUUGUUUGGGAAUGCAGCUCUAAAUGGGAGGUACAUUUCUUCUAAAGCUAAAUAUUGGCCAGAGACCGAUAGCGCACAAGUAGAGUGAUCGAAAGAUGAAAAGCACUUUGGAAAGAGAGUCAAACAGCACGUGAAAUUGUUGAAAGGGAAGCGCUUGCAGCCAGACUUGCUUACAGUUGCUCAUCCGGGCUUUUGCCCGGUGCACUCUUCUGCGGGCAGGCCAGCAUCAGUUUGGGCGGUUGGAUAAAGGUCUCUGUCAUGUACCUCCUUUCGGGGAGGCCUUAUAGGGGAGACGACAUGCAACCAGCCUGGACUGAGGUCCGCGCAUCUGCUAGGAUGCUGGCGUAAUGGCUGU
rnacentral:rRNA from 1 species